rnacentral:rRNA from 1 species
GGUGAACGCUGGCGGCGUGCCUAAUACAUGCAAGUCGAGCGAACAGACCAGGAGCUUGCUCCUCUGUCGUUAGCGGCGGACGGGUGAGUAACACGUGGAUAACCUACCUGUAAGACUGGGAUAACUUCGGGAAACCGGAGCUAACACCGUAUAAUAUCUUGAACCGCAUGGUUCAAUAGUGAAAGACGGGUUUGCGGUCACUCAUAGAUGCAUCCGCGCCGCUUUGGCUAGUUGGUGAGGUAACGGGCUAGCAAGGCUACGAUGCGUAGCCGAGCUGAUGGGGUGAUCGGCCACACUGGAACUGGACCACGCUCAAUACUCCUACGAGACGCCGCAGUAGGCAAUCUUCCGCACUGGGCGGAAACAUUGCGGAACAACGCGACGUGAGUGGUGACAGUCCUCGGAUCGUAAAGCUCUGUUAUUAGGUGAGAACAGCUGUGUAAGUAGCUAUAGACUUUGUGACGGUACCUAAUCAGAAAGCCCCGGCUAACUACGUG